AUUUAAUUCCCUGGACUCCCAGUCUGAACCCAGUUAUUUCCAGUCCUAUUUCUUUCUCUCUCUAUUGUAACUUGUUGCUCAGAGAAGUCUCUGGAGAAUAAUAUCUGCUGCAACAAUUACUCUAUUGUUUCCUUGCCUUCAACUAUUACACCCUUUAAUUAGAGUUAGUUUGGAAGACAUCACACUGUUGCUCUUUCCAAAUGUAACCUUGCAACCUGGUAUUUUUCCUUUCUAAAAAUGAAACAAAACAACAACAACAACAACAACAUGAGCUAAACCCUCCACCAUGACCUUCGUUCUAGGUCCACGAACUGUGCGAUAACUUCUGCCACCGAUACAUUAGCUGUUUGAAGGGGAAAAUGCCCAUCGACCUCGUCAUUGAUGAAAGAGACGGCAGCUCCAAGUCAGAUCAUGAAGAACUUUCAGGCUCCUCCACAAAUCUCGCUGACCAUAACCCUUCUUCUUGGCGAGACCACGAUGAUGCAACCUCAACCCACUCAGCAGGAACCCCAGGGCCCUCCAGUGGGGGCCAUGCUUCCCAGAGCGGAGACAACAGCAGUGAGCAAGG
rnacentral:sRNA from 1 species